rnacentral:lncRNA from 1 species
AAAGAAUUAGCCUAAACUUUUUAGAAACUGAAAUUGAAGAAGAAUAAUUCUCUACGAAUUAAGGUUAGCAAACUGAAUUGGAGAAUGAAUUGGAGCAAGGAAUUGUCACGAGAAGGAAGUAAAAACAAAUUUGAAGCAAGAAUGCAAGGGAUCGCAUCAAUUAAACUUCAAAUUGAGAGGUAAGCCAUGUGUUUUUGUAAGUUCAUAGAAAUUGAAAGUAUACAUAUGAUUGUUGAUAUAAUUGCUAUGCAUGGGUUGUGAAUUAAUGUAAGGGGAGUAUUGUGAAUUAAUGUAAGGGGAGUAUUGUUUAUGUUAUAUGGAGUAAUAAGGAAGGAUUCCAUGAAUUUUUUUGGUUAGAACCCUUCUAAAAUCUUGUGAAAUUCUGGAAUCUAAGUGUUGUAGGCAUGGUGUUUGAAAAUUUACCUCAAAGAGGUUAAAAUGUGUAAAAUUGAGAAUUAGCCAAUGUUCUAGGCUAGGAAGUAUGCAUAUAUGUAUUAGAAGAUAACCUAAUUUAUUUGUUAUGCAAAGAUCCUCUUUGAUCUAUCUUUCGGUAGUCCAGGACGAAAAAAAAUUAUGGCUCCGCCGUUGCUACCAAAAGUUAUCAUAUUUGGUCGAAGAAUAAUCUUACUUUACUUUAACAAUUAGAAAUCGAUAAAUCAAAUAAGAACAAUUAAAUUAAAGUUAUAAUAUAACCAAAUAAUAUAACAAUUAAAAUAAAUUUAAAAAUAUUAUGUCAUUUAUUAACAUAUAAGUAAAUAAUAUAACUAUUUUUUUUUAUUUUUUUUUCAGAAAUUGUGAGAGAAAUGGUAAUGAGCACGGCCCCCAUCUCGUCCUGGUAAUUGGUAAAGGGAGAAAAAUCUAGUAAGGUAUGUCGGUCAGCUGGUGGGCUAUGUGGAGUGGGACGGAAAGUGAAAGUGGGUAUAUUUCAAGGAUCCCCAACCUCACAACUUCUUUCUUUAUUCG